rnacentral:rRNA from 1 species
UACAGAGGUCCCAAGCGUUGUUCGGAUUCAUUGGGCGUAAAGGGUGCGUAGGUGGCGCCGUAAGUCGGGUGUGAAAUUUCGGAGCUUAACUCCGAAACUGCAUUCGAUACUGCGGUGCUUGAGGACUGGAGAGGAGACUGGAAUUCAUGGUGUAGCAGUGAAAUGCGUAGAGAUCAUGAGGAAGACCAGUGGCGAAGGCGGGUCUCUGGACAGUUCCUGACACUGAGGCGCGAAGGCCAGGGGAGCAAACGGG